UCCCACUGGGUACAGUGCUUGUGCCUU
rnacentral:piRNA from 1 species